rnacentral:lncRNA from 8 species
GGUUCUCAAGCUUUUAGACAGUCUAACCCCAUGGGAGGAGCUGAUGAACAACUUGUAUCAUAAUGACGGCAGGAACCAUUGUUUUAAACCUUGUUGAGAAUGUGAAGUAUAUCACUACAUGCAACGACUAAAUGAGGAACAUGUGUGCGUGCGUGCAACAUAUAAAGAUAGCAAUUUCCCCACUAGUAAUUCCUUGACGUCACUUGGAGGCUCCCUAUACUGUGACUCUGAGUGCUCAGAGGACAGCCUGGAACUGCGAGAGCGAAAGAUGUGCGUGAUGGACAUUUAACUCAAUUCAACGGAAAUCGCAAAUUGGUAGGUUUUUUUUCUUCUUCUAAUUAUUGAUGUAGGCCUAUAACAUGUAUGUGUUUUGCAGCUGGUUAUGCUUUGCAUUUUAUCUCGCCGUCAGUGCGUGUUACGAAGUUCUUCCCUUCGAACACUUGAGCGGAGGCUAUGUUGCAGGUGAUGGGUCGAGUUGAGACUGAGAGACUGUCUAUAUUUAAUCCAGCACUAUAUUGCAUUAGAUUUAUAUAACAAAGAUGUUCUGUGUAAUAUAUAUUUUCUGAGAUCGAAAACUAUGGCACAUUGUCUAUUUUCUCAGUCUCUUUUACACUAAGAACUUUUAUAGAAAUGUAGGGACAUUUUGUAUUUGUAUUUUAUUUAACAUUUAUUUGACUAGGCAAGUCAGUUAAGAACAAAUUCUUAUUUACAAUGACGGCCUACCAAAUGGCAAAAGGCCUCCUGCGGGGACAAGGCUGGGAUAAAAAAUAAAUAAAAGAAUAAUAAAUAAAUAUAAGACAAAACACAUAUUAUGACAAGAGAGACAACACAACACUACAUAAAGAGAUACCUAAGACAAAAACAUAGCAUUGCAGCAACACAUGACAACACAGUAUGGUAGCAACAUGACAACAACAUGGUAGGAUCACAAUAUGGCAGCAGCACAACAUGGUAGUAGGACAAAACAUGGUACAAACUCAUGAUGCACUUAAAAGGCAUGAUAGGCUACUCUACCUCUGUGGAUUUUUAUUUUUAUUUUUUUACCUUGUAAAUGCCCAUCAUAUUUAAAAACGUUUGGAAUUGUACUGUAUCAUGUUGAAUUUGGGACAUUUCAGUGGCCUUAUUGAACAUUUUUCCACCAAUAAUUUUCAAAGACAUUUUUGAACAAAACAGGUAUCAACGGUUGAGUAUCACAGGUGAUAUAUGCCCACAACAGUAAAGGGUGAUAUUGGAUGAAGACCAGUCAAAACGUCUAUAUUGUACUAUCCCGCUUGGGACUAUAGAUUGCAUUUUGCUGACUCAUCUUUUACUUGUAUGUUAAAGUAGACAAUGAGAUGAGUCAUAUCAGAUGAGAGUGACCAGAAGAUGUGGCGUGUAAGCUAUUACUGAAAUUACCGCCUUUACAAACUUGUCUGUCCAGACCAGAUCCUAAUCUACAGUACUGUCCCCCACGUUUCAUGUCCUAGAGGUGAACUACAUUCCGCGUGUCUCCACAAAACCUCAUCUUUAUCACUCUUCCCUCCUUCCUCCCAAUUUCUGGUUGAAUUCUUUGGAGGUUACAUGCCUUUCUUUUUGACAGAAGGCCCUAAAAGGUGUUGCAUUUGAAAACGAAACAGAAAGUACUUAUUCACAAAUUUGGACUGUCAGCUAAUAAUACUGUGCUGUUGUCAGUCACCAAACUGCUUUGUAUUUUACGUAUGUCUGCAGCCUUGGAUGACUAUGUAGUUGUAGAUGGGUAAAUCCAUUUGAAUUCAAUAACUUUCUGACACCAUCCCUUUUGAUUUUAAACAUAACUUUCCGUAAAUGUUUGCCCAUGAAAAAAGUGAUCAGAAAUGGACUUUUAGGUCCUGAAUGCCAAAACAUUCAGGAGAUAAAGGUGCUCAAAGUUGACCUAUUUUGCAUACCUACCAUACCAUCAGACAUCUAUUUCUUUGUCACUGGAAAAGAUAAACAGUGAGAUUGAUAUCAUUUAAAAGCUUCCAAACACUGUUGUCAAACUAUUAUUAUUAUUAUUUUUUUGUUAAAUAAAAAGUAUGCCAUUUUUAAACCUUGAACGUCAAUUAUUUCAUAUUCACACAUGUUGUAGUUUAGACCCUAUUUCACAUCAUCUGAGUUUGUGUUGUGCCCUCCAUCGGUUGAGACACAAUAUGCUCUUGAAUACAGGGUGGGCGUCAUUUCAAUCAUAGUAAUAGAAUUCUUACAACCACUUGAGACCAUUGCAAUAUAGCUGCUACACCAUUUACAUAUCAUUUACAUUUUAACUUAUAAUUACUACCACAAAGAUGACUGCCGGUCCACACACUGUCGAUUGUCAACAUAAAUGGUCAUGUCUAUUCUAUUAUCUACAUUUCUAUGAUUUCAAUAGGUUUCCUAUGGAGGAUUGACAGUAUAAUUUAAAACAACAGAUAUUCCCAUUCAAGUCUACAUUCUCUGAUGUGUGGACCUCCAACUGUCUUUCUGGUACCAUUUGAAAGUCAAAUUUUCAAUUCUAUUGCCAUUUUUGUACAUUUAUCAGCUAAAACAUGACACCCACCCUGUUGGCCACCCUAUUCAAGAGCAUGCUGUGUCUCAACUGAUGGCGGGCACAACACAAAAACCUAAGCUACAACAUAUGUGAAUAUGACCAUUUUGGGAGUUUACAGGUUUUUAGAUAAUUGAUGUUGAAAGUAAAAAAAAGUAUAUAUUUUUUAUGUAUACAUUUUUUUCUCCAUACAUUAACAAGUAAUUUGACAACCCUGCUUGUAAGCUUAUAAAUUAUCAGGGACAAAAAGGCUCCUGAAUAGCUCCUACCCCUAAGCCAUAAGACUGCUAAAUAGUAAAACAAAUAGCUAUCUGAGUUGACCCUUUUUG